rnacentral:rRNA from 1 species
GCUUUCUUGAUUCGGUGGGUGGUGGUGCAUGGCCGUUCUUAGUUGGUGGAGCGAUUUGUCUGGUUAAUUCCGAUAACGAACGAGACUCUAGCCUGCUAACUAGGCGAUUUCCGGUACCCACAACAGUGUUACCGGCGAUUCAAUUUCUUCUUAGAGGGACAGGCGGCUCCUAGCCCACGAGACUGAGCAAUAACAGGUCUGUGAUGCCCUUAGAUGUCCUGGGCCGCACGCGCGCUACACUGAAGGAAUCAGCGUGUCAUCCCUGGCCGAC